UGCAUGCAGAAAACACAUAAGUAUUCAACAAAAAAAAAUCACCUCAAAUUUGAAGCAUUUAGUUGGAACUCUCCAUUGAGAAAGAUGUCCAGUGCAGAGAGAGGCCAAAUGGUACAAAUAUGUGGCAUAAAGGACCAGUCAACAGCCUGCAUAUAGGGGCAGUGAAGGGAAAUUUCCAUCUGCAAUUGGUCUCCCCCAGUGCGGGAGAAGUGUUGGAUAUCAUUGCAUGUACAAUAAAGAUGUCUGAAUUCAUUGAUCACUGUCUGACCAGCAAGCAUAACAAUCCUGUAGCAAUUUAUUGCAAGUUGGAAGGGGGAGGGAUUCAAGAUUGUCUAAGAAGAAAUCUGUGCAUGUAG
rnacentral:lncRNA from 1 species